rnacentral:rRNA from 1 species
GGUUAAGUGACUAAGCGUAUACGGUGGAUGCCUUGGCAGUUAGAGGCGAUGAAGGACGUGUAAGUCUGCGAAAAGCUGUGGUGAGCCGACAAAAUGCAUUUGAGCCACAGAUGUCCGAAUGGGGAAACCCACCUAUUUAUAGGUAUCGCUACAUGAAUAUAUAGUGUAGCGAGGCGAACGAGGGGAACUGAAACAUCUAAGUACCCUUAGGAAAAGAAAUCAACCGAGAUUCCCCUAGUAGCGGCGAGCGAACGGGGAUUAGCCCUUAAGCAAUUAUGAACGUAGUGGAAGCCUCUGGGAAGUGGCGCGAUACAAGGUGAUAGCCCUGUACACGAAGUGUUUGUUUUUGUGAAAUCGAGUAGGUCGGGACACGUGUUAUCUUGACUGAAUAUGGGGGGACCAUCCUCCAAGGCUAAAUACUCCUAACUGACCGAUAGUGAACCAGUACCGUGAGGGAAAGGCGAAAAGAACCCCUGUGAGGGGAGUGAAAUAGAACCUGAAACCGUAUACGUACAAGCAGUGGGAGCAGACUUGUUCUGUGACUGCGUACCUUUUGUAUAAUGGGUCAGCGACUUAUAUUUAGUAGCAAGGUUAAGCGAAUAGCGGAGCCGUAGCGAAAGCGAGUGUUAACUGCGCGUUUAGUUGCUAGGUAUAGACCCGAAACCCGGUGAUCUAGCCAUGGGCAGGUUGAAGGUUGAGUAACAUCAACUGGAGGACCGAACCCACUAACGUUGAAAAGUUAGGGGAUGACUUGUGGCUGGGGGUGAAAGGCCAAUCAAACCGGGAGAUAGCUGGUUCUCCCCGAAAUCUAUUUAGGUAGAGCCUCGGACGAAUUCCAUUGGGGGUAGAGCACUGUUAAGGCUAGGGGGUCAUCCCGACUUACCAACCCUUUGCAAACUCCGAAUACCAAUGAGAACUAUCCGGGAGACACACGGCGGGUGCUAACGUCCGUCGUGAAGAGGGAAACAACCCAGACCGCCAGCUAAGGUCCCAAAAUAUUGCUAAGUGGGAAACGAUGUGGGAAGGCAUAGACAGCUAGGAGGUUGGCUUAGAAGCAGCCACCCUUUAAAGAAAGCGUAAUAGCUCACUAGUCGAGUCGGCCUGCGCGGAAGAUGUAACGGGGCUAAGCAAUAUACCGAAGCUGCGGAUACGUGUUUACACGUAUGGUAGGGGAGCGUUGUGUAAGUGGAUGAAGGUGGAUUGAGAAGUCUGCUGGACAUAUCACAAGUGCGAAUGCUGACAUGAGUAACGAUAAUGGGAGUGAAAAACUCCCACGCCGGAAGACCAAGGUUUCCUGUCCCAUGCUAAUCAGGGCAGGGUAAGUCGGCCCCUAAGGCGAGGCAGAAAUGCGUAGUCGAUGGGAAACGGAUUAAUAUUUCCGUACUUAUAUAAUCAGUGAUGGAGGGACGGAGAAGGCUAAGCAAGCUUGGCGUUGGUUGUCCAAGUGAAAGCAAGUAGGCCGAGUGUUUAGGUAAAUCCGGACGCUUAAAGCUGAGAUGCGAGACGAGCUACUACGGUAGUGAAGUUGUUGAUGCCCUGCUUCCAGGAAAAGCUUCUAAACUUAUGAUUAUAU